GCCAGACUCCUACGGGAGGCAGCAGUAGGGAAUUUUGCGCAAUGGGCGAAAGCCUGACGCAGCAACGCCGCGUGAUCGAGACGCCCUUCGGGGUGUAAAGAUCUGUCAGUGGGGACGAAACUUGACGGUACCCACAGAGGAAGCACCGGCUAACUCCGUGCCAGCAGCCGCGGUAAUACGGAGGAUGCGAGCGUUAUCCGGAUUUAUUGGGUUUAAAGGGUGCGUAGGCGGGCUGUUAAGUCAGCGGUCAAAUGUCGGGGCUCAACCCCGGCCUGCCGUUGAAACUGGCGGCCUCGAGUGGGCGAGAAGUAUGCGGAAUGCGUGGUGUAGCGGUGAAAUGCAUAGAUAUCACGAAGAACUCCGAUUGCGAAGGCAGCCUACUAAACUGCCACUGACAUUGAUGCUCGAAAGUGUGGGUAUCAAACAGGAUUAGAUACCCGAGUA
rnacentral:rRNA from 1 species